CGAUCAGUAGCUCAGUGGCGAGAGCGGCCGGUCCACACCCGGCAGACCGCAGGUUCGAGUCCUGCCUGAUCGA
rnacentral:tRNA from 1 species